AGGUCUUCUAGAUUUGCAAAGCGGCAUUCGUGGGUCUGGUUCUGCCGCUGGAGGUCUUGCACCGCUUUCUCCAGCACCUGUAUAAGCUGAGAGUCCUGGUGAGUGGUGGUUUCCAGCUUGUCAAUUCGGCCUGUCAGUCCUUGCAGCCCUCCCCUGAUUGUGGCAAUGUCAGCCUGCAGGGUGGUCUGUAGGUCGGCAAGGAGACCCUUGAGCGCCGAUAGUGUGACCGGGGAUGUGUCCGGUUUCGU